rnacentral:rRNA from 1 species
GAUGAACGCUGGCGGCGUGCCUAAUACAUGCAAGUCGAGCGAACGGACGAGAAGCUUGCUUCUCUGAUGUUAGCGGCGGACGGGUGAGUAACACGUGGAUAACCUACCUAUAAGACUGGGAUAACUUCGGGAAACCGGAGCUAAUACCGGAUAAUAUUUUGAACCGCAUGGUUCAAAAGUGAAAGACGGUAUUGCUGUCACUUAUAGAUGGAUCCGCGCUGCAUUAGCUAGUUGGUAAGGUAACGGCUUACCAAGGCAACGAUGCAUAGCCGACCUGAGAGGGUGUUCGGCCACACUGGAACUGAGACACGGUCCAGACUCCUACGGGAGGCAGCAGUAGGGAAUCUUCCGCAAUGGGCGAAAGCCUGACGGAGCAACGCGGCGUGAGUGAUGAAGGUCUUCGGAUCGUAAAACUCUGUUAUUAGGGAAGAACAUAUGUGUAAGUAACUGUGCACAUCUUGACGGUACCUAAUCAGAAAGCCACGGCUAACUACGUG